GUAGUCGUGGCCGAGUGGUUAUAGGUGAUGGACUAGAAAUCCAUUGGGGUUCCCCCCCGCAGGUUCAAAUCCUGCCGACUACG